UACGGAGGGUGCAAGCGUUAUCCGGAAUCACUGGGUUUAAAGGGUGCGUAGGCGGUGGCGUAAGCCAGUUGUGAAAUUCCCCGGCUUAACCGGCGGGACUGCGAUUGAUACUGCGUUACUUGAAUCAGGUUGAGGUAGGCGGAAUGUGACAUGUAGCGGUGAAAUGCUUAGAUAUGUCAUAGAACACCGAUUGCGAAGGCAGCUUGCUGGACCUGUAUUGACGCUGAGGCACGAAAGCGUGGGGAGCAAACAGG
rnacentral:rRNA from 1 species